GACCACGUGGCCUAAUGGAUAAGGCGUCUGACUUCGAAUCAGAAGAUUGAGGGUUCAAGUCCCUUGUGGUCA
rnacentral:tRNA from 1 species